GCAGUCGAACGCACUGACGUCGACAGAAGGUGCUUGCACUGGAAGUUGAUUGACGUGAGUGGCGGACGGGUGAGUAACACGUGGGUAACCUGCCCUUAAGCGGGGGAUAACAUUUGGAAACAGAUGCUAAUACCGCAUAAAAGUUGAGAUCACAUGGUCUUAAUUUGAAAGACGGCCUUUGGCUGUCACUUAAGGAUGGACCCGCGGCGUAUUAGCUAGUUGGUGAGAUAAUAGCCCACCAAGGCGAUGAUACGUAGCCGACCUGAGAGGGUAAUCGGCCACAUUGGGACUGAGACACGGCCCAAACUCCUACGGGAGGCAGCAGUAGGGAAUCUUCCACAAUGGACGAAAGUCUGAUGGAGCAACGCCGCGUGAGUGAAGAAGGUUUUCGGAUCGUAAAACUCUGUUGUUGGAGAAGAACAGGGACUAGAGUAACUGUUAGUCCUUUGACGGUAUCCAACCAGAAAGCCACGGCUAACUACGUGCCAGCAGCCGCGGUAAUACGUAGGUGGCAAGCGUUGUCCGGAUUUAUUGGGCGUAAAGCGAGCGCAGGCGGUUUCUUAAGUCUGAUGUGAAAGCCUUCGGCUUAACCGAAAAAGUGCAUCAGAUACUGGGAAACUUGAGUGCAGAAGAGGAAAGUGGAACUCCAUGUGUAGCGGUG
rnacentral:rRNA from 2 species